UGGGGAAUUUUGGACAAUGGGCGAAAGCCUGAUCCAGCAAUGCCGCGUGUGCGAAGAAGGCCUUCGGGUUGUAAAGCACUUUUGUCCGGAAAGAAAUCCGUCUGGCUAAUACCCGGAUGGGAUGACGGUACCGGAAGAAUAAGCACCGGCUAACUACGUGCCAGCAGCCGCGGUAAUACGUAGGGUGCGAGCGUUAAUCGGAAUUACUGGGCGUAAAGCGUGCGCAGGCGGUUUUGUAAGACAGAUGUGAAAUCCCCGGGCCUAACCUGGGAACUGCGUUUGUGACUGCAAAGCUGGAGUACGGCAGAGGGGGGUGGAAUUCCACGUGUAGCAGUGAAAUGCGUAGAGAUGUGGAGGAACACCGAUGGCGAAGGCAGCCCCCUGGGCCUGUACUGACGCUCAUGCACGAAAGCGUGGGGAGCAAACA
rnacentral:rRNA from 1 species